rnacentral:tRNA from 1 species
GCCCUCGUGGCCCAACUGGCAGAGGCAGGCCACUUAAAAUGGCUUCAGUGCGGGUUCGAAUCCCGUCGAGGGCAC